CAUCAAAUGACUGAAAGCAAGUAAUGGUCUCUUAAACCACUUAAUAGUAAAUUAGCAUUUACUUUUGAUGA
rnacentral:tRNA from 1 species